rnacentral:rRNA from 1 species
CCUACGGGAGGCAGCAGUGAGGAAUAUUGGUCAAUGGACGAGAGUCUGAACCAGCCAAGUAGCGUGAAGGAUGACUGCCCUAUGGGUUGUAAACUUCUUUUAUAUGGGAGUAAAAUGUUCCACGUGUGGGAUUUUGUAUGUACCAUAUGAAUAAGGAUCGGCUAACUCCGUGCCAGCACCCGCGGUAAUACGGAGGAUCCGAGCGUUAUCCGGAUUUAUGGGGUUUAAAGGGAGCGUAGGUGGAUUGUUAAGUCAGUUGUGAAAGUUUGAGGCUCAACCGGAAAAUUGCAGUUGAAACUGGCAGUCUUGAGUACAGUAGAGGUGGGUGGAAUUCGUGGUGUAGCGGUGAAAUGCUUAGAGAUCACGAAGAACGCCGAUUGCGAAGGCAGCUCACUGGACUGCAACUGACACUGAGGCUCGAAAGUGUGGGUAUCAAACAGGAUUAGAUACCCCAGUAGUC